UAGGGAAUCUUCGGCAAUGGGGGGAACCCUGACCGAGCAACGCCGCGUGAGUGAAGAAGGUUUUCGGAUCGUAAAGCUCUGUUGUUAAGGAAGAACGAGUGUGAGAAUGGAAAGUUCAUGCUGUGACGGUACUUAACCAGAAAGGGACGGCUAACUACGUGCCAGCAGCCGCGGUAAUACGUAGGUCCCGAGCGUUGUCCGGAUUUAUUGGGCGUAAAGCGAGCGCAGGCGGUUAGAAAAGUCUGAAGUGAAAGGCAGUGGCGCAACCAUUGUAGGCUUUGGAAACUGUUUAACGUGAGUGCAGAAGGGGAGAGUGGAGUUCCAGGUGUAGCGGUGAAAUGCGUAGAUAUAAGGAGGAACACCGGUGGCGAAAGCGGCUCUCUGGUCUGUAACUGACGCUGAGGCUCGAAAGCGUGGGGAGCGAACAGG
rnacentral:rRNA from 1 species